AACGAACGCUGGCGGCAGGCCUAACACAUGCAAGUCGAGCGGACCCUUCGGGGUUAGCGGCGGACGGGUUAGUAACGCGUGGGAACGUGCCCAAAGGUACGGAAUAGCCUCGGGAAACUGAGAGUAAUACCGUAUGUGCCCCUCGGGGGAAAGAUUUAUCGCCUUUGGAUCGGCCCGCGUUGGAUUAGGUAGUUGGUGGGGUAAUGGCCUACCAAGCCGACGAUCCAUAGCUGGUUUGAGAGGAUGAUCAGCAACACUGGGACUGAGACACGGCCCAGACUCCUACGGGAGGCAGCAGUGGGGAAUCUUAGACAAUGGGGGAAACCCUGAUCUAGCCAUGCCGCGUGGACGAUGAAGGCCUUAGGGUUGUAAAGUCCUUUCAGCUGGGAAGAUGAUGACGUUACCAACAGAAGAAGCACCGGCUAACUCCGUG
rnacentral:rRNA from 1 species